GUUGAUUGGAAUGUUGUCUAGUCCAAGUUCAGAUAUGACUGAUGAUUGCUCAAAGUCCUCAAAGCUUUAUUAAUUUCUAGGGUUUCAUUCUUCUAUACCCUUGAAACAAAGAAAGUAAUUGGAUUUAGAUGCUAGUAUUUUAUGUGACCUUGGAUCAGGCUUCAUUUCAGUCAAC
rnacentral:pre_miRNA from 1 species